AAAGAACUCCCUCCGUCCCAAAAUAAGUGGCUCAAAAGUGACUCAACUUUGUACUAUUAGUACAAAGUUGAGUCACUUUUGAGCCACUUAUUUUUGGACGGAGGGAGUACAUG
rfam:Triticum aestivum genome assembly, contig: Triticum_aestivum_CS42_TGACv1_scaffold_592640_7BS